CCCAGACAGCUAAUCAAUUGGUUGAGCCUAAAAAACACUUGUUUGACUGGCGGCUGAGGGGGCAAUAGAAUAGUUACUCUUGGUAUACUGACUCUUGGAUGACUAAUAGCCACAUCCAAAAGCCACGAGCCCAAGGACA
rnacentral:snoRNA from 1 species